CACAUGACUCUCGGCAACGGAUAUCUCGGCUCUCGCAUCGAUGAAGAACGUAGCAAAAUGCGAUACCUGGUGUGAAUUGCAGAAUCCCGUGAACCAUCGAGUUUUUGAACGCAAGUUGCGCCCGAGGCCUUUCGGCCGAGGGCACGUCUGCCUGGGCGUCACGC
rnacentral:rRNA from 1 species